AGCGUUCAUCCUGGCUCAGGACGAACGCUGGCGGCGCGCCUAAUACAUGCAAGUCGAACGAGUACGCACUUCGGUGCAAUGUACGAGUGGCGAACGGGUGAGUAACACGUGAGAAACCUGCCUCGGAGACCGGGACAACCAUUGGAAACGAUGGCUAAUACCGGAUGUCCUUACUUGAUCGCAUGAUCGUGUAAGGAAAUGAUCCGUCGCUCCGGGAGGGUCUCGCGGCCUAUCAGCUAGUUGGUGAGGUAACGGCUCACCAAGGCAUCGACGGGUAGCUGGUCUGAGAGGACGAUCAGCCACACUGGGACUGAGACACGGCCCAGACUCCUACGGGAGGCAGCAGUAGGGAAUCUUGCACAAUGGGCGAAAGCCUGAUGCAGCGACGCCGCGUGGGGGAUGAAGGCCUUCGGGUUGUAAACCCCUUUCAGUAGGGACGAAAAUGACGGUACCUACAGAAGAAGCUCCGGCCAACUACGUGCCAGCAGCCGCGGUAACACGUAGGGAGCAAGCGUUGUCCGGAUUUAUUGGGCGUAAAGAGCUCGUAGGUGGUUCGGUAAGUCGGAUGUGAAAACUCAAGGCUCAACCUUGAGACGCCAUCCGAUACUGCUGUGACUUGAGUUCGGUAGAGGAGUGUGGAAUUCCUGGUGUAGCGGUGAAAUGCGCAGAUAUCAGGAGGAACACCGACAGCGAAGGCAGCACUCUGGGCCGAUACUGACACUGAGGAGCGAAAGCAUGGGGAGCAAACAGGAUUAGAUACCCUGGUAGUCCAUGCCGUAAAC
rnacentral:rRNA from 1 species